AUGCUAUUUACUAUGCCUUUGCCAUGCAUUUGUGACCCAUGCUUUGCAUUACACAUGAUGAUUGAUUCUUGUACUUGUAUGUGUAUUUGCAAGCUUGGUGGAGAUAUUGCUUGUUAUUGCCAUGUUCCUUUUGUGCACCAUUCCUAUGAUGAUACUUUCAUCUUGCUUUGUGUCUGUGCUUGCGAUAUGUCAUGUGCAUUCCCUAUGCCUAUUAUUUGCUCACAUGACAUGAUUGUCAUGAUUUCUUCUAGUGUGUUGCAUCUUCGCUCCACUAGUUUGCACGACUUCAUUACUAUGCUUGCUUAUGUUGCAUCACCAAUGAUUCAUACUUGCUCAUUUGAUGCGGUUGAUGACAACCAUCUAUAUGCUUUGCACAUGAAUCAUAUUGCUUCUUGUCAAAUAUCUUCAUGUGUUGCCUCUCUCAUGCUAGAUUUGCCAUGUAUUGAGUGCAACAAUGAUUCUCUUCUUGCUCAUGAGAUUGCCCCCACAGCAUUCUCGCAUAUAUUUGGAGAUUUUGACAUAAUUCUUGUGAAGCAUGCUUGUCUUACUUCUUUGCACCAUAUACCCAGGGCCAUGAAUUUAUCCAUUGUUGCAUCAUAUUAUUCAUGCACUUGUGCUUCUAAUGGUUUUGUGCAAAAGAUGAGAACCAUCAUGAUGGAUGAUGUGUUUAUCUACCAUGCGCAUACGUUCUUUGUUUUGUUUUGUGCAUGUGUAGGAUACUUGGACUUUGUGUCGACUUCCACUUCACGUGAGUUGACCAUUCGAGCUCUUGAGAGCGAGCCUCAUACAUUCUACCACGACUCACUUCUACACCAUAUUUACUUCCACUUCGGCAUUGUGAAGAAUGCACAAGGACACACCUUCAAGGUGACAUCCUUCUUGAGCUUGGAUAUUGUGGAUCAUACUUCAUGUGUUGCUUGCACCAUUUGCACGCAUGUUCGAGACAUUGCUUUCACCCAUGAUUGCCACAUUUCCAUGCUUCAUGGUAUAUAUACCUUGUGUGUUGCAUCCAAUUCUUGGUCUACUUGCUACUAUCAUAUGAUUGGUUGCACCAAUAUCAUUUCUUCACAUAUGCCAUGUCCCUUUGCUUGUCACAUGCUUGACUUGACUGCCUCACACAUGAUGAACACUUGCUAUUUCUAUUGUGUUGAGUGCCACACUAUAUUCACUACACCCUAUGCACAUUAUGCUUGGAUUGUCUUGCACUUGACCCAUGUGUUUAGACAUCUCAUCUUAUUUGGUGUUGUGAAUGAUUCCUAUGCCUACCAUCGACCAUUUGUCGAGCACUUUAUGCAUGUUUGCUAUGACUUUGAGGUAGAUGCUUAUGCUCUUAUCACACAUAUUUGCAUCUCUAUCUCACAUUUACAUGCUUGUUUCCAUGAUGACCUUGAUUUUGCUCGAUUCAUAUGCUUACAUGCCAUGUCACAAUCCUUUGUCACACCCUAUGCUAUGCUUGAUGACAACACUUGUUUGGUGAAUCACCUCUUGAAUGCUUGGUUUUGCACUAACGCUAACCACAUUUGUUUUUCCAAGUGUUUGUUCUAUUUUCUCCUUUUGAAGGAAUCACAAGAUGGUGCGACAUUGGAGAGUGCCUAUUUCGAGCUUAAAGAUGAUGAGUGCUUGGAGAUCGACCGCUUCGACACGGUAACACCAUCUCUUUCCCAUGGUGAUUUGGUUUUCGAUCCGAGGUCGGAUCUUUUCCAAGGGGGAGGGGAUGAUGCGGAGCAUCCUACGGUCAUCACCAUGUCAAGAGUUCAUUUGGCAAGUGACACGUGCGACCUCUACUUCCCAUACAUAAAGGUGAAUCUACUCCUUUACACGUGUUCACUUGACCCCUUCGAGGAUGGUAUACUACUUGACACUCCACCCGUGUGCAUGCAUAGGUAUCACCGGAACUUCAUGGAUGACAAGGAGGAGUGCAAGCGCCAAGGAACAACUACCCCAUCCGCGAGGGAGGCAUGGAAGCGAAGACGGAAGAAGAAGGAGCUGCGGAGUCUACAGCGACCGGACGACCAGAAGCCACCGGACGUCCGACACCCCUACAGCGCCCGGACGACCGGACUACGUCGGACGUCCGACACCUGGAGCUCCAGCCAGCCCAAGAGACCUGCCGACGAAAGCUACAGCAGCCGAACGACCGACGAACGCCGGACGUCCGACAAGUCCCAGGCACGGACGACCGACACCGACCGGACGACCGAUACUACGGUGACAGAGAAGAAUUUAUGGAAGUCCGAAGUCUUUCGGACGUCCGGACCAUCCCGAGCUUCCGGAUGUCUGACCCCCACCGGACGUCUGACGCCUGUGUGCGCAGCCGCGGGCCUUUGGCCAUGUAUCCCUCUCCCACUUACCCCUUCGUGGCUUAGACUAUAA
rnacentral:rRNA from 1 species